GCUGAAAGCACACAUUUUCUAUUACUUUCCCUCAGUCCUCUCUCUCUCCCUCUGUGCUGUUUAUGUCAAGGAACCAGGGGAGCUAGUUUAAGUGACAUCUUGUUAUAAACAGUCAAGCUGAGCGAUGCUGCUGGAAGGAUGGGCCGAAGGAGAUCUGGGACCAUCAUCAAAACCAAGGGCCUCCUUUGGUAGUGUAGUCCAUAGAGCUCAGUCUGGUUGGACUCUCUAAAAUCAGACAGGAAGCCAAACGAUCUCUAAACUCUGACUCACGGAAGCAGGAGACAGAGCUGACAGCCUCCAGCCAGCCCCAGGUAUGUGGACUGCAGAUCUGCAUUCAGCGCUCACUGACCCCCAGCUGCCAUCCCUACUGCAUGACCGCAUGGUAUCUGCACAGCAGAUACAGUAUGAAACUGGGAAAGACAAACAGAAAUUACAGUAAAUUGAAUGAAAUAACCAGCCCUAGAUGAACAUUUGCCAUAAUCAAUCUACACAGUAAAUAACCAACCUUGGUAGAAAAUGGAAACACUUCUGUUUAAGAAGCCAUGCGAAGUUACACAAUGACCUGCAAUCAUAAAAGGAAUAUCCUGCCUCUGAUAAUCUCUCUUCCAGUCAUGAAAUUGUGCACUGACUCAUAUGCCAGCACCUUCCAGAAAACUGCCCAAGGGAAAUCAGAACAGGCCUUCAGAUAAGAAAACAUAAGUCAAGAACAUUGAGAUGUUUGUCACGCAACUAAUAAAUAUCCAUCCCCUUACCCCCUCC
ensembl:lncRNA